rnacentral:rRNA from 1 species
GGAAUACGAUAUGUAGCGGUGAAAUGCAUAGAUAUAUCGUAGAACACCGAUUGCGAAGGCAGCUCACUAAGCUAAUAUUGACGCUGAUGGACGAAAGCGUGGGGAGCGAACAGGAUUAGAUACCCUGGUAGUCCACGCCGUAAACGAUGAUCACUCGUUGUGCGCGAUACAUUGUGCGCGACUGAGCGAAAGCAUUAAGUGAUCCACCUGGGGAGUACGUUGGCAACAAUGAAACUCAAAGGAAUUGACGGGGGCCCGCACAAGCGGAGGAACAUGUGGUUUAAUUCGAUGAUACGCGAGGAACCUUACCUGGGCUUAAAUGCAGUUUGAUCGGCUUGGAAACGAGCUUUCUCUUCGGAGCAAAUUACAAGGUGCUGCAUGGUUGUCGUCAGCUCGUGCCGUGAGGUGUCGGGUUAAGUCCCAUAACGAGCGCAACCCCUAUCGUUAGUUGCUAGCAGGUAAUGCUGAGGACUCUAGCGAGACUGCCACCGUAAGGUGAGAGGAAGGUGGGGAUGACGUCAAAUCAGCACGGCCCUUACGUCCAGGGCUACACACGUGUUACAAUGGCUAGUACAAAGGGCAGCUACCUGGUGACAGGAUGCUAAUCUCAAAAGCUAGUCUCAGUUCGGAUCGGAGUCUGCAACUCGACUCCGUGAAGUUGGAUUCGCUAGUAAUCGUAUAUCAGCAAUGAUACGGUGAAUACGUUCCCGGGCCUUGUACACUCCGCCC